rnacentral:rRNA from 1 species
UGGGGAAUAUUGCGCAAUGGGCGAAAGCCUGACGCAGCAACGCCGCGUGAGUGAUGAAGGCCUUCGGGUCGUAAAGCUCUGUCGGAGGGAACGAAUGCUCCUGAAGUUAACAGCCUCAGGAGGUGACGGUACCCUCAAAGGAAGCACCGGCUAACUCUGUGCCAGCAGCCGCGGUAAUACAGAGGGACCAAGCGUUGUUCGGAUUUACUGGGCGUAAAGGGUGCGUAGGCGGCAUAUCAAGUCACUUGUGAAAUCUCCGGGCUUAACUCGGAACUGCCAAGUGAUACUGAUGUGCUAGAGUGCAGAAAGGGCAACUGGAAUUCUUGGUGUAGCGGUGAAAUGCGUAGAUAUCAAGAGGAACACCUGAGGUGAAGACGGGUUGCUGGGCUGACACUGACGCUGAGGCGCGAAAGCCAGGGGAGCAAACGGGAUUAGAUACCCCGGUAGUCCCUGAGCGGGCUGGCAAGGCGCAU